rnacentral:rRNA from 1 species
AUUGAACGCUGGCGGCAUGCUUUACACAUGCAAGUCGAACGGCAGCGCGGGCUUCGGCCUGGCGGCGAGUGGCGAACGGGUGAGUAAUAUAUCGGAACGUACCCAGGAGUGGGGGAUAACGUAGCGAAAGUUACGCUAAUACCGCAUACGUCCUAAGGGAGAAAGCGGGGGAUCGCAAGACCUCGUGCUCAUGGAGCGGCCGAUAUCUGAUUAGCUAGUUGGUGGGGUAAAGGCUCACCAAGGCAACGAUCAGUAGCUGGUCUGAGAGGACGACCAGCCACACUGGAACUGAGACACGGUCCAUACUCCUACGGGAGGCAGCAGUGGGGAAUUUUGGACAAUGGGGGCAACCCUGAUCCAGCAAUGCCGCGUGAGUGAAGAAGGCCUUCGGGUUGUAAAGCUCUUUUGUCAGGGAAGAAACGGUUUUGGCUAAUAUCCGAAACUAAUGACGGUACCUGAAGAAUAAGCACCGGCUAACUACGUGCCAGCCGCCGCCGUAA